GACGGGUCCCCGCACAAGCAGCGGAGCGUGUGGUUUAAUUCGUUGCUACACGAAGAACCUUACCUGGGUUUGACAUAGCAGUGGUAGGGAAGCGAAAGCGGACCGACCUUCGGGGAGCUGUUACAGGUGUUGCAUGGCUGUCGUCAGCUCGUGUCGUGAGAUGUUCGGUUAAGUCCGCUAACGAGCGCAACCCGCGUUGUGUGUUACAAGUGUCACACAAUACCGCCGGUAUUAAGUCGGAGGAAGGUGCGGAUGACGUCAAGUCAGCAUGACAUUUAUAUCCAGGGCUACACACACGCUACAAUGGUCGGCACAAUAGGUUGCCAAGUCGUGAGACGGAGCCAAUCCUCCAAAGCCGGCCUCAGUUCAGAUUGCAGGCUGCAACUCGCCUGCAUGAAGUUGGAGUUGCUAGUAAACGCAGGUCAGCUAUACUGCGUUGAAUACGUUCCCGGGGAUU
rnacentral:rRNA from 1 species